rnacentral:rRNA from 1 species
AGUGAACGCUGGCGGUAGGCCUAACACAUGCAAGUCGAACGGCAGCACAGUAAGAGCUUGCUCUUACGGGUGGCGAGUGGCGGACGGGUGAGGAAUACAUCGGAAUCUACUUUUUCGUGGGGGAUAACGUAGGGAAACUUACGCUAAUACCGCAUACGACCUACGGGUGAAAGCAGGGGAUCUUCGGACCUUGCGCGAUUGAAUGAGCCGAUGUCGGAUUAGCUAGUUGGCGGGGUAAAGGCCCACCAAGGCGACGAUCCGUAGCUGGUGUGAGAGGAUGAUCAGCCACACUGGAACUGAGACACGGUCAAGACUCCUACGGGAGGCAGCAGUGGGGAAUAUUGGACAAUGGGCGCAAGCCUGAUCCAGCCAUACCGCGUGGGUGAAGAAGGCCUUCGGGUUGUAAAGCCCUUUUGUUGGGAAAGAAAAGCAGCAGGUUAAUACCCCGCUGUUCUGACGGUACCCAAAGAAUAAGCACCGGCUAACUUCGUG